GACAAACGCUGGCGGCGUGCUUAACACAUGCAAGUCGAGCGCGAAAGGAGCUUCGGCUCUGAGUAAAGCGGCGAACGGGUGAGUAACACGUGGGCAACCUGCCUCAAGGACUGGGAUAACUCCGGGAAACCGGGGCUAAUACCGGGCGAUGUCGUCUGGCGCAAGCCAGCCGACCAAAUGGUAGCUUCGGCUUCCGCCUUGAGAUGGGCCCGCGUCCUAUCAGCUUGUUGGUGAGGUAACGGCUCACCAAGGCGACGACGGGUAGCUGGUCUGAGAGGAUGAUCAGCCACACUGGGACUGAGAUACGGCCCAGACUCCUACGGGUGGCAG
rnacentral:rRNA from 1 species